CGGUCCAGACUCCUCCGGGAGGCAGCAGUGGGGAAUUUUGGACAAUGGGCGCAAGCCUGAUCCAGCCAUACCGCGUGGGUGAAGAAGGCCUUCGGGUUGUAAAGCCCUUUUGUUGGGAAAGAAAUCCAGCUGGCUAAUACCCGGUUGGGAUGACGGUACCCAAAGAAUAAGCACCGGCUAACUUCGUGCCAGCAGCCGCGG
rnacentral:rRNA from 1 species